rnacentral:rRNA from 1 species
CAGUCGCCGCGGUAAUACGAAGGGUGCAAGCGUUAAUCGGAAUUACUGGGCGUAAAGCGCGCGUAGGUGGUUUGGUAAGAUGGAUGUGAAAUCCCCGGGCUCAACCUGGGAACUGCAUCCAUAACUGCCUGACUAGAGUACGGUAGAGGGUGGUGGAAUUUCCUGUGUAGCGGUGAAAUGCGUAGAUAUAGGAAGGAACACCAGUGGCGAAGGCGACCACCUGGACUGAUACUGACACUGAGGUGCGAAAGCGUGGGGAGCAAACAGGAUUAGAUACCCGGGUAGUCCCUGUCUCUUAUAC